rnacentral:rRNA from 1 species
AGUAAUGUCUGGGAAACUGCCUGAUGGAGGGGGAUAACUACUGGAAACGGUAGCUAAUACCGCAUAACGUCGCAAGACCAAAGUGGGGGACCGUUCGGGCCUCAUGCCAUCAGAUGUGCCCAGAUGGGAUUAGCUAGUAGGUGGGGUAACGGCUCACCUAGGCGACGAUCCCUAGCUGGUCUGAGAGGAUGGCCAGCCACACUGGAACUGAGACACGGUCCAG